AAUUUAACGGCCGCGGUAACCUAACCGUGCGAAGGUAGCAUAAUCACUUGUCCUUUAAAUAGGCUUGUAUCAACGGCACCACGAGGGUUAUACUGUCUCCUUUCUCUAAUCAGUGAAACUGAUCUCCCCGUGAAGAAGCGGGGAUAAAACUAUAAGACGAGAAGACCCCAUGGAGCUUUAAAUUAAGCAGCAACUUAAACUACCCCCUCAUAAAAUAGAGAUAUGUAUGCAACUUUUAGGUUGGGGCGACCGCGGGGUAUAAAUUAACCCCCACGACGAAAAGAACUAAAUCUUUAUCCUAGAGCCACCCCUCAAAGAAUUAGCACCCUAACGAACAAUGACCCGAACAUCGAUCAACGAACCAAGUUACCCUGGGGAUAACAGCGCAAUCUACUUCAAGAGCCCCUAUCGACGAGUAGGCUUACGACCUCGAUGUUGGAUCAGGGUAACCCAGUGGUGCAGCCGCUACAAGAGGUUCGUUUGUUCAACGAUUAAAACCCU
rnacentral:rRNA from 1 species